UACAGAGGGGGCAAGCGUUGUUCGGAAUUACUGGGCGUAAAGGGCGCGUAGGCGGCCACUUAAGUCAGACGUGAAAUCCCUUGGCUCAACCAAGGAACUGCGUCUGAUACUGAGGGGCUUGAGUCCGGGAGAGGGAAGCGGAAUUCCAGGUGUAGCGGUGAAAUGCGUAGAUAUCUGGAGGAACACCGGUGGCGAAGGCGGCUUCCUGGACCGGUACUGACGCUGAGGCGCGAAAGCCAGGGGAGCAAACGGG
rnacentral:rRNA from 1 species